GUCUAGGUAGCUCAGUGGUUAGAGCGAGUCCUUAAUGUCUGCCCUGGGGAUGGUAGCCUUCCAUCUCCAGGGUGGCUCCCGCCGUUAGGGACCAUGCCCAAGUUCGAAUCUUGGCCUAGACA
rfam:Moniliophthora perniciosa FA553 Contig17931, whole genome shotgun sequence.